UGCUUAAAAUAGCCUGUUUUGAGUGAGGAGCGUGCUUGAGAUGGGUAUAGUAAACAUGUAAAGCACUUUCCAAAUGGUGUUUGGCCUCUGGGUUUUAAUGUGAAUUAUGUUGCUAGCAUAUUUUGGCAGUGGGGUCAUCCAACGGGCAACUGGAGUAUAAUUUUACAUGUACAGUGAGGAAAGGACUAGCUGUCCUGUGUCAUAGACAGCUGGCCUGCUAAGAAUUGGGUUUUGUGUGUGUGUGUGCAACUAACAAUAAUUUUAGAGAGUACUUUUUCUCUGUUUUGAUUUUUCUUCAACUUUAUGUGACUCUUUGAAUAUGAAGGAAUUCUUUUAAACAGUCCUUUUCCAUAGGUGGACUUUUCUGUCAGUAAAUACUAAAUUUGUUAAGACCAGUUAAGUAGAAAGAAUACAGUAAGUACUCUAUAUAUGAACCUU
rnacentral:lncRNA from 1 species